AUGAGCGUCUUUCAGGAGACGGUGUGCAGGCUGAGGGAGUGUGUAGAGGAGGCCCAGGCCAGCAGCAAGCAGGGGACCAGGGACACAGCAGCAGCACAACACAGCCUCAGAGAGCUGAGACUGGAGCUGGCCUCCACCCAGGCUUCCCAUAGAGAGAGCAUGGAGCUGGUGCGUGCCCUGCUUACACACAGCUGGCUGAGCAGAGUGGUGAGGCUGCAGGUCUACGUAGUGAGCUGUCCCGCCUGCAGCAGAGGAGCUCCCAGCUGUCAGAGGAGAGAGGGGGCCAGGAGGAGAGGACCAGGCAGCUGGCUGCAGAGCUCCACAGACUACGUACUACCAGCAGACACUGGACGAGGAAGAGCAUCCUUGUCAUUUUGCGGUCAGCAAACUCCGCCAGAGAAAAUGAAGUGUGAGUUGCACCCCGCACAACCCAUCCCACAAAAAAAUAAAAUGAUUAUGUGCAGCUGUGUGUGUGUGUUUGUCAGUUUUUACUUUCCACUUUUAGAAAUAAUUGCUGGUUGCUCGGUGGGAUCAGAGGAAGGGUAUAAUGAUUGUCUCUGGCUGUGUGGUAUGGCUGGGUUCUGGGGAGGGCUGGGGGAGAGCAACUCAUUUCACACACCUAAAUGUGAGUGUGUGUGAAUGUGUUAACAUUAGUGUGUUUGUACAGCAUGUAACUUGUUUGUGGUGUCUAUGUGCUUGAUGUGUAUCUACAUACUGUACGUGUGUGUGUGUGCACGGCUGUCCUUUUGCACGGAUUAGCAGGUGAACGCAGCAAGAGGAUGACCAGACUGGGGUUGCGAUACUGUCACACAGGGGUUAGGGGGAAUACAGAGCUGCAGUACUGCAGUUUGGAGCCUCCAGUCCCCACACACACACCACUUUAAUUGCCUUUGCUUCUUUCAUUACAUGUAUUGCCUCUCCUCUGCAUUGCCUGCUCCCUGGGCUUGUGGAAAGGUCAUUGUAGUGGGGAUGUGAACACUGCACAGCCUCCGUGUGUCCCAGCCAAGCAGGCAGAGGAUAGGGCGGGGGAUGUGAACACUGCACAGCCUCCGUGUGUCCCAGCCAAGCAGGCAGAGGAUAGGGCGGGGGAUGUGAACACUGCACAGCCUCCGUGNNNNNNNNNNAUCAAUAUAUUGAUUUGGGAUAGCUAAUGGCCCAGUAGCCUUGCACUUGACUUUUCCUACUAGCAGUGACUUUGCUGAUAACUUCUUUAUUGAGAAUUGUUUUGUUUUCCAUUUUAAUAAUUUUAUACGAAUGAUUUUUUAUUUAAAAAAUGUACCCCCUUUUUCUCCCCAAUUUUUAUCUUGUGUCAUCGCUGCAACUCCCCAACGGGCUCGGGAGGUGAAGGUCGAGUAAUGCGUCUUCCGAAACAUGACCCGCUAAACCGCGCUUCCUAACACCCGCCUGCUUCACCCGGAAGCUAGCUGCACCAAUGUGUCUGUAGAAACUUAGAGCUAUUUAUCACUUGUCAGAAAUGUCCAGAUCAACUAGCCCAUGUCAGCUAACAUUUUUUUUUUUUUUUUUUUUUGCCGAUAUGUAUUGUUGUAAUUCUUACAAAAAACAAAUAAUUAGAAUUGCAAGAAAAUAUGCUUUGCAAAAUGCAAAAUUUACACCCCAUUACAAAAUGUGUAGAAUUUAAUGAAAUAAGCUUUGUCACACCCUGAUCUGUUUCACCUGUCCUCGUUAUUGUCUCCACCCCCUCCAGGUGUCGCUUGUUUUCCCCAGUGUAUUUAUCCCUGUGUUUCCUGUCUCUCUGGGCCAGUGUAUUUAUCCCUGUGUUUCCUGUCUCUCUGGGCCAGUGUAUUUAUCCCUGUGUUUCCUGUCUCUCUGGGCCAGU
rnacentral:lncRNA from 13 species